rnacentral:tRNA from 1 species
GAAAAAAUAGUAUAAGAAGUACUUUUCGUUUACACCGAAAGGGUUUAGAGUUAUUUCUAGUUUUUUCA